rnacentral:rRNA from 1 species
GACGAACGCUGGCGGCGUGCUUAACACAUGCAAGUCGAACGGAAAGGCUCUGCUUUUGUGGGGUGCUCGAGUGGCGAAAGGGUUAUUAACACUUGCUUAACCUGCCCUUGACUUUGGGAUAACUUCAGGAUACUGGGGCUAAUACCGGAUAGGCGCUCCUGCUGCAUUGUUGGGGUUGGAACGUUUCGGCGGUUGUGGAUGGACUCGCGGCUUAUCAGCUUGUUGGUGGGGUAGUGGCUUACCAAGGCUUUGACGGGUAGCCGGCCUGAGAGGGUGACCGGCAAAAGUGGGACAGAGAUACGGCACAGACUACUGAGGGAGGCAGCAGUAGGGAAUAUUGAACAAUGGGCGGAAGCCUGAUGCAGGAACGCCGCGUGAGGGAUGACGGACUUCGGGUUGUAGACAGCUUUCGCCUGUGACGAAGCGUGAGUGACGGUAAUGGGUAAAGAAGCACCGGCUAACUACGUG